rnacentral:rRNA from 1 species
AUGCCGUCCGCAGUCCCUUCCGCCGCGCUUCUUCUCCUCGUCGUCCUCUCGGCCGAGGGGCAGCCGUUCAAGGGCCUCGUGCCCAAGAACGGGAGCGUGGUCUUGGUCGGCAGCAACGUCACCGCGACGGCCGGCGCGGCAGCGAUGUGCUACCAGACGAGCGCAGUCGAAGAAAAAGCCAAGCAGAACAAGGCGGCCCUCGACGUGGCCCCUCUCGCCGUGUGCCUCGACGACGACCUGUUGCUGCCGGGGGAGCUGCUGCUCAACGGCGCGGGCUCAGUGCCGUCAGCGCGCCAGUCCGCGCCUACACCUGGAGCAUCUCCUGCAGAUGCAGAUAAGAAGGGCUUGAGCGGGCGAGCAAAGGCAUGGUGUUUCUGGGCCCUCGCCGUGGCGGCGACGGCCGUCGUUUUCGUUGUGCGGCCAGAAACGUUCCUGGUCUCGCGCAUCGGCCCCAUCUCCACUGAUGACGACGUGCCAGUGGUCGACGGCGAUGGCGAGCUCUUCGACUGCGCCAUCUGCAUGGAGACGGUGCCCGGCGUCCGCAAGUUCAGCGUCAGCUCGUGCGGCCACGCCUUCUGCUCGGGCUGCGUCGUCCGGUACGUCGCGGCUAAGCUGGGCGAGAACGUGCCUCGCGUCAAAUGCCCCGACCCCGGCUGCGAGGAGGGCGCCGUCGAGCCGGAGAGCUGCUUCGGCGUCAUCUCCUCGGACCUGCUCGACAAGUGGGGUUUCCUGCUGUGCGAGUCCGCGCUCGGCGCCAAAAGAGUGUACUGUCCCUACAGAGAAUGCUCGGCGCCCCUUCUCGCCGACGCUGAGGCCGGCGCGGCGGCGAUCGCGGAGGCCGAGUGCCCGCACUGCCACCGGCUGUUCUGCGCCCGGUGCGCGGCGCCGUGGCACGCCGACGUCGGGUGCAGGGAGUUUCAGGAGCUCGGGCAGGACGAGCGCGGCCGGGAGGACCUCUUGCUGAGGCGGCUCGCCGGACGGCAGAGGUGGCAGCGGUGUCCCAAGUGCAAGAUGUACGUGGAGAAAUCGGAAGGAUGCAACUACAUCAAAUGCAGGUGUGGAUACAGCUUCUGCUACAGAUGUGCAUUCAAGGUGUCCGCGCGAACCCAUUUCUGCAACAAGUGCAAGCGCUAA